rnacentral:rRNA from 1 species
UACGGGAGGCAGCAGGGGGGAAUAUUGCACAAUGGGCGCAAGCCUGAUGCAGCCAUGCCGCGUGUAUGAAAAAGGCCUUCGGGUUGUAAAGUACUUUCAGUCGUGAGGAAGGUGUUAAGGUUAAUAACCUUAGCAAUUGACGUUAGCGACAGAAGAAGCACCGGCUAACUCCGUGCCAGCAGCCGCGGUAAUACGGAGGGUGCGAGCGUUAAUCGGAAUUACUGGGCGUAAAGGGCACGCAGGCGGUUAAUUAAGUUGGAUGUGAAAUCCCCGGGCUUAACCUGGGAAUGGCAUUCAAGACUGGUUAGCUAGAGUCUUGUAGAGGGGGUAGAAUUCCAUGUGUAGCGGUGAAAUGCGUAGAGAUGUGGAGGAAUACCGGUGGCGAAGGCGGCCCCUGGACAAGACUGACGCUCAUGUGCGAAAGCGUGGGGAGCGAAACAGGGAUUAGGAUACCCGU